GACGAACGCUGGCAGCGUGCCUAAUACAUGCAAGUCGAGCGGACAGAAGGGAGCUUGCUCCCGGAAGUUAGCGGCGGACGGGUGAGUAACACGUGGGCAACCUACCCUGUAGAUCGGGAUAACAUCGAGAAAUCGGUGCUAAUACCGGAUAAUCAUUUGAAGUGCAUGCUUCGAAUGUAAAAGAUGGCUCCGGCUAUCACUACGGGAUGGGCCCGCGGCGCAUUAGCUAGUUGGUAAGGUAAUGGCUUACCAAGGCAAAGAUGCGUAGCCGACCUGAGAGGGUGAUCGGCCACACUGGGACUGAGACACGGCCCAGACUCCUACGGGAGGCAGCAGUAGGGAAUCUUCCGCAAUGGACGAAAGUCUGACGGAGCAACGCCGCGUGAGUGAUGAAGGUUUUCGGAUCGUAAAGCUCUGUUGUUAGGGAAGAACAAGUGCCGUUUGAAUAAGGCGGCACCUUGACGGUACCUAACCAGAAAGCCACGGCUAACUACGUGCCAGCAGCCGCCGUAAGAC
rnacentral:rRNA from 1 species